rnacentral:rRNA from 1 species
GUCAAAGCGUUCAUUAAAGUCGAGUUGGCUUAGGGAUACGUUCGUUGGGUAGGGGAGCGUUCUGUAAGCCUGUGAAGGUGUGUCGUGAGGCAUGCUGGAGGUAUCAGAAGUGCGAAUGCUGACAUAAGUAACGAUAAAGCGGGUGAAAAGCCCGCUCGCCGGAAGACCAAGGGUUCCUGUCCAACGUUAAUCGGGGCAGGGUGAGUCGACCCCUAAGGCGAGGCCGAAAGGCGUAGUCGAUGGGAAACGGGUUAAUAUUCCCGUACUUGGUGUUACUGCGAAGGGGGGACGGAGAAGGCUAUGUUGGCCGGGCGACGGUUGUCCCGGUUUAAGCGUGUAGGUGUGUGUUCCAGGUAAAUCCGGUUCACUUUAACACUGAGGCGUGACGACGAGGCACUACGGUGCUGAAGCAACAAAUGCCCUGCUUCCAGGAAAAGCCUCUAAGCAUCAGGUAACACGAAAUCGUACCCCAAACCGACACAGGUGGUCAGG